UGGGGAAUAUUGCACAAUGGAGGGAACUCUGAUGCAGCGACGCCGCGUGAGUGAUGAAGGAAUUCGAUUCGUAAAACUCUGUUCUAUGGGAAGAAAAGGACUGUACCAUAGGAGAAAGCUCCGGCUAAAUACGUGCCAGCAGCCGCGGUAAUACGUAUGGAGCGAGCGUUGUCCGGAAUUAUUGGGCGUAAAGGGUGCGCAGGCGGCUUUACAAGUUGGAUGUGAAAUAUUGUGGCUCAACCACAAACGUGCAUCCAAAACUGCAAAGCUUGAGUUAAGGAGAGGUAAGUGGAAUUCCUGGUGUAGCGGUGGAAUGCGUAGAUAUCAGGAGGAAUACCGGUGGCGAAGGCGACUUACUGGACUUAAACUGACGCUCAGGCACGAAAGCGUGGGGAGCAAACAGG
rnacentral:rRNA from 1 species